rnacentral:rRNA from 1 species
CCUGUUAAGUCAGAUGUGAAAGCCCGGGGCUUAACCUCGGAAUUGCAUUUGAAACUGGCAGGCUAGAGUCUUGUAGAGGGGGGUAGAAUUUCAGGUGUAGCGGUGAAAUGCGUAGAGAUCUGAAGGAAUACCAGUGGCGAAGGCGGCCCCCUGGACAAAGACUGACGCUCAGACUGCGAAAGCGUGGGGAGCAAACAGGAUUAGAUACCCUGGUAG